GAGUGUUACAGUUCUUUUUGAAUUUGUCUAGCAGGUUUUCUGUAUUUUUACCAGAACUUCACCCUG
ensembl:snRNA U7 U7 small nuclear RNA